AUUCAUUACUCAGCCGUUUCUGUCUGUCUCUACAUGUUGUAUCUUCAGGGAUCAACGGGGGCUUUGGGGCAGGAGGGAGUUGCUGGUCUCGAUGGGUCCAGUUGGACUGAGGGGACCUGAGGGCCCAGCUGGAAAAAAAGGCAUAUCUGGUGAUAAGGGAAACAAUGGACCUCCUGGACAGAAAGGGCCAAAGGGAACUGAAGGCAACAGAGGCAAUCAAGGGCCACAGGGAACAAAGGGGC